GGUGGCGAUAGCGGAGGGGAAACACCCGUUCCCAUUCCGAACACGGAAGUUAAGCCCUCCAGCGCCGAUGGUA
rnacentral:rRNA from 1 species